rnacentral:rRNA from 1 species
UACGUAGGGUGCAAGCGUUGUCCGGAAUUAUUGGGCGUAAAGAGCUCGUAGGCGGUCUGUUGCGUCGGCUGUGAAAACUCGGGGCUCAACCCCGAGCCUGCAGUCGAUACGGGCAGACUAGAGUGAUGUAGGGGAGACUGGAAUUCCUGGUGUAGCGGUGAAAUGCGCAGAUAUCAGGAGGAACACCGAUGGCGAAGGCAGGUCUCUGGGCAUUAACUGACGCUGAGGAGCGAAAGCAUGGGGAGCGAACAGG